rnacentral:rRNA from 1 species
GAUGAACGCUGGCGGCGUGCCUAAUACAUGCCAGUCGAGCGAACAGACGAGGAGCUUGCUCCUCUGACGUUAGCGGCGGACGGGUGAGUAACACGUGGAUAACCUACCUAUAAGACUGGGAUAACUUCGGGAAACCGGAGCUAAUACCGGAUAAUAUAUUGAACCGCAUGGUUCAAUAGUGAAAGACGGUUUUGCUGUCUCUUAUAGAUGGAUCCGCGCCGCAUUAGCUAGUUGGUAAGGUAACGGCUUACCAAGGCAACGAUGCGUAGCCGACCUGAGAGGGGGAUCGGCCACACUGGAACUGAGACACGGUCCAGACUCCUACGGGAGGCAGCAGUAGGGAAUCUUCCGCAAUGGGCGAAAGCCUGACGGAGCAACGCCGCGUGAGUGAUGAAGGUCUUCGGAUCGUAAAACUCUGUUAUUAGGGAAGAACAAAUGUGUAAGUAACUAUGCACGUCUUGACGGUACCUAAUCAGAAAGCCACGGCUAACUACGUG